rnacentral:rRNA from 1 species
UACGAACUGUGCGAACGUUAUUCGGAAUCACUGGGCUUACAGGGUGCGUAGGCGGCUAUUCAGGUCAGGUGUGAAAGCCCCCGGCUCAACCGGGGAACUGCGCUUGAAACCGAGUGACUCGAGUCAGCUAGAGGUACACGGAACUUCCAGUGGAGCGGUGAAAUGUGUUGAUAUUGGAAGGAACACCGGAGGCGAAAGCGGUGUACUGGGGCUGGUCUGACGCUGAGGCACGAAAGCCAGGGGAGCGAACGGG